GUGAAUAGCAGUUAUUCGGAAAACUAACAUACAUUUCUCUAGAAGUAGAAAUACUGAUUUGUAGCAUUACCAAGUCAACCAUCUCAAGUGCUGUAAAUAUAAAUAGAUCAGUAUAUGUACAUAUCUAUAAACUUUGGCCAACAAUAUAAUACAGAGCCUUGAUGUUUUACUGCUAGGCUCUCCUAUUCCAAUAAUCGAAUCCUUGUGUAAAGUACUGCAAGACAAAAGGGAUUAAUUGCACUAAGCAUUCUUAAAUAUCUAUGCCCAAUUAUCUACUAUUCUAUUCAAAAAGAGAUGAACACACAAGUUUUUCAUUUAAAAACUGUAAGAACAUGUGUGAUGUUCUCACCAACAAUUUUCUCAGGUGUUAUGAUAUUUCUGUAGGAAGUCAACAAUAAGCUUCUUGUUCUCCGACUACUCAUUUUUCAGGGCCAUCUUCUUGUCCUUUCUUUGUAGAUUCCCCUUCUCCCUUAUCCUUUCCCCUUGUUAUGAUCCUCUAGUAGUAUUCCUGCCAUCAAUGUGCAACACUGAUGAAUUGUAUGCUAGUAAACAUGUAAGUGCAAUGCAUGUCCUUACCAAUAUACACUUUUUAAUUACGCAUGUCAUAAUGCAGUAAUAGAACUUAUAUACCAUUUCAACCACAUCAACUAUCAUCAAAUUAUAGAAUAUUUAUCUUGAAAAAUUGACGGGAAGUUACCUAUUAAUAAUUCAAUACAUUCCUAAUGUAUUUUAGGAAAACCAAUUCAUCAGUGUUCAUGUCCGCUUGCUCAAGAACCUUUUCUUUUGAUGACACGGAAGAUGAUCUUAUAUGACAAAGGAUGACAAAGUGUACUCAUUCACAAAUUGUAGUAAGACAAGUAUAUGCAGCAUUUUAUUAUUUUCAACACCUGGUAAACAGAAAUCUUCGACAUCCAACUCACGUUAUGCAUUUGAUACAUCACUAAGCACAUCCUUCUCUGAAGUAAGUAAUAAUAUAAUUGCUUUAUUCUUUUGAUUGAAUUAAGGAGUACAAAAGUUUUGUAACCAUUUUUUCUCGACGGAUACUUGCUUGGCUUCCCUCACACUACUACUUCCAAUAUUGUGUAUAAGCUCAGAUGGACUUUCAUAUUAAUUUUUUAUUUUAGAAGAAUAUUCAUGUGUACAACGGUAGAGAUCAUAUUCGUAGUUAACAACUGAACAUUAAAUCUUUCGGAGAUAGCAUUUAUGUAGCUUGGUAGACAAUCAAAGAGGUAUUGCGUUAGCAUGCGCAUGUGAGAAAUUCAUUUGCUCGAGCAGAACAAUUGUGAUGCCUUAAAAGCCACGGAUCAUUCUACUCUCUCCGUUUCUAAAUAUUUAUCUUUUUAGAGAUUUCACUAUGAAUUGCAUACGGAUGUAUAUAGACAUAAUUUAGAAUGUAAACUCAUUCAUUUUGUUUUGUAUCUAGUUCAUAGUUGAAUCUCUAAAAAGACAAAUAUUUAGGAAUGGAGCGAGUAUGCAGCAUGAAAACAAGUUAAAUCAAUAUGAGACAAUCAGGCAGUUAAGGAAUGCGACCUGUAUUUGUAGAAGAACUGUCCUUUUAAUGUACUGGUCGCUAGAAUGAUAUAUCUGCAAACAUGAAAAUUGCCAAGCACUCGUAUAAGUAUGAUGAUACCGACUUGGUUAUCCCAUGAACCAAAACAUUUCCAGAAUGUUAUAACAAAG
rnacentral:lncRNA from 1 species